rnacentral:tRNA from 1 species
UAAAAGAUAGACUAAAAAAGUCGAUAGAUUCAUAAUUUAUAAAUAAAUAAAGAUUUUCUUUUAG